AUUUUUAUCUUGUUCCUGAUUUUAAAGCAAUGCUUCAAAUCUUUCACCUUGAAGAAUGAUGUUUGCUGUAAUUAUUUGAUAAAAGCUCUUUAUCAGUUCUCUGCAGGCAAAGAGAGGAACAUGAGCAGUAUGGCGUGUCCAUUUUACAGAUGGGAACAACAGAGGACUGUACCCCAAAGCUGGGAACAACCUCUCACCCAUCUCAUCAACAUCAUAGUGUGGAAGAGAUUUGGCUUAUUCAUGCAACAAAGUGUAAAACACAAAUGUUCAACCUCUGUUUAGCCCUGGGGGAGUAAUAAAGCUUUCAUCAAUAGACA